UACGGGAGGCAGCAGUGGGGAAUAUUGCACAAUGGGCGCAAGCCUGAUGCAGCCAUGCCGCGUGUAUGAAGAAGGCCUUCGGGUUGUAAAGUACUUUCAGUCGUGAGGAAGGUGUUAAGGUUAAUAACCUUAGCAAUUGACGUUAGCGACAGAAGAAGCACCGGCUAACUCCGUGCCAGCAGCCGCGGUAAUACGGAGGGUGCGAGCGUUAAUCGGAAUUACUGGGCGUAAAGGGCACGCAGGCGGUUAAUUAAGUUGGAUGUGAAAUCCCCGGGCUUAACCUGGGAAUGGCAUUCAAGACUGGUUAGCUAGAGUCUUGUAGAGGGGGUUAGAAUUCCAUGUGUAGCGGUGAAAUGCGUAGAGAUGUGGAGGAAUACCGGUGGCGAAGGCGGCCCCUGGACAAAGACUGACGCUCAUGUGCGAAAGCUGGGGAGCAAACAGGAUUAGAUACC
rnacentral:rRNA from 1 species